rnacentral:rRNA from 1 species
UACGUAGGGUGCAAGCGUUAAUCGGAAUUACUGGGCGUAAAGCGUGCGCAGGCGGUUGUGCAAGACAGAUGUGAAAUCCCCGGGCUUAACCUGGGAACUGCAUUUGUGACUGCACGGCUAGAGUGCGGCAGAGGGGGAUGGAAUUCCGCGUGUAGCAGUGAAAUGCGUAGAUAUGCGGAGGAACACCGGUGGCGAAGGCGGCUCACUGGCCCGAAACUGACGCUCAUGCACGACAGCGUGGGGAUCAAACAGG